GACGAACGCUGGCGGCGUGCUUAACACAUGCAAGUCGAACGGAGAGGCCCUGCUUGCAGGGUACUCGAGUGGCGAACGGGUGAGUAACACGUGGGUGAUCUGCCCUGCACUUCGGGAUAAGCCUGGGAAACUGGGUCUAAUACCGGAUAGGAGCCAUUUUUAGUGUGAUGGUUGGAAAGUUUUUUCGGUGUAGGAUGAGCUCGCGGCCUAUCAGCUUGUUGGUGGGGUAAUGGCCUACCAAGGCGGCGACGGGUAGCCGGCCUGGGAGGGUGGACGGCCACAUUGGGACUGAGAUACGGCCCAGACUCCUACGGGAGGCAGCAGUGGGGAAUAUUGCACAAUGGGCGCAAGCCUGAUGCAGCGACGCCGCGUGGGGGAUGACGGCCUUCGGGUUGUAAACUCCUUUCGCUAGGGACGAAGCUUUUUGUGACGGUACCUAGAUAAGAAGCACCGGCUAACUACGUG
rnacentral:rRNA from 1 species